rnacentral:tRNA from 1 species
AAAGCAUCUGGGUUGCAUUCAGGGGAUGCAGGUUAAUGUCCUGCGGGUCUUA